UGGGGAAUAUUGGACAAUGGGCGGAAGCCUGAUCCAGCCAUGCCGCGUGUGUGAAGAAGGCCUUUUGGUUGUAAAGCACUUUAAGCGAGGAGGAGGCUACUUUAGUUAAUACCUAGAGAUAGUGGACGUUACUCGCAGAAUAAGCACCGGCUAACUCUGUGCCAGCAGCCGCGGUAAUACAGAGGGUGCAAGCGUUAAUCGGAUUUACUGGGCGUAAAGCGCGCGUAGGCGGCUAAUUAAGUCAAAUGUGAAAUCCCCGAGCUUAACUUGGGAAUUGCAUUCGAUACUGGUUAGCUAGAGUGUGGGAGAGGAUGGUAGAAUUCCAGGUGUAGCGGUGAAAUGCGUAGAGAUCUGGAGGAAUACCGAUGGCGAAGGCAGCCAUCUGGCCUAACACUGACGCUGAGGUACGAAAGCAUGGGGAGCAAACAGG
rnacentral:rRNA from 1 species